rnacentral:rRNA from 1 species
GACGAACGCUGGCGGCGUGCUUAACACAUGCAAGUCGAACGGAAAGGCCUCUUUCGGGGGGUACUCGAGUGGCGAACGGGUGAGUAGCACGUGAGUAAACUGCCCUUGACUUUGGGAUAACUUCAGGAAACUGGGGCUAAUACCGGAUAGGAGCUCCUGCUGCCUGGUGGGGGCUGGAAAGUUUCGGCGGUUGGGGGUGGACUCGCGGCUUAUCAGCUUGUUGGUGGGGUAGUGGCUUACCAAGGCUUUGACGGGUAGCCGGCCUGAGAGGGUGACCGGCCACAUUGGGACUGAGAUACGGCCCAGACUCCUACGGGUGGCAGCAGUGGGGAAUAUUGCACAAUGGGUGGAAGCCUGAUGCAGCAACGCCGUGUGCGGGAUGACGGCCUUCGGGUUGUAAACCGCUUUCGCUCAUGACGAAGCUUUGUGUGACGGUAGUGGGUAAAGAAGCACCGGCUAACUACGUG